UCCCCUGCUUGCCUGUACUCCGUCCUGCCACCCUGUGAAGAAGGUUCCUGCUUCUCCUUUACUUUCUGCCAUGAUUGUACCAUAGUAGGGACUGGAAAUUCAACGUGAAAAAAAGAAGUUAAAUCUCUGCUGCCUUAAAAUAAUCAGAACGUAAGGAGAAAAUGUGUUCAGCUGGAACUUAAAUAGACCGGCCACAAAUAACCCAUAAUUCUCUAUAAAUGGACUGUCAUGCUGAGAACAGCUUUAUGCCACGCUGAUCCUAGCUCCACAAGAGCCGGCUAAGCUACGCUUACCCGUAGCAGGUCACACUCCAGAGCCCACUGGAUUCUUGCUGACACAAUAAGUACGCUUCCACCUGGGGCCAAGAACAAUCUGGACUCAGGCAGAGAGUGUGAAUUACAGUGAAGAGCUACCACCCUCCUAACCACAGCCAAUCAAUAGAAAAUAAACACAGGUAGGAGAAGGAAUGAACUCCUUUCCACAACAUGAGUACGUCACUUUUUCUCUGUUACAGUUUUGUGGAGGAAAUCAUCCCCUUGGGAUCUUCAGCGUUGUCUCAUUUACCUCCGCUCUCUCUAGAACUGGGUGGUGCAAAAAUGCCUAAGCCUUCUUGGGAAAGGAAACUGAGUGCCACAUGCAUAGGAGGCGUGGCUAUGGGUCAGCUGGUGUACCUCUAAUGCAAGUACCUCACAUGCUUAAAAUGGUUCUUCCUCCUAUCCCUCCUUUCCGUAAACUGCACCCUCUGUUUCACCCAAAACCAAAAUGGUAAAAUCACUCAGAAAACACAAGAGUUAUUGAAAUCAAAGUGUUAACAAUUCCUUUUAAGUGUAUAUCUUGCGUUUUAAAUGGAUGUGGUAUCUUAAUAUCAUAUUGUGAUUAUAUUUUUAAUUUUUCAAAGCCACAACGACUUAAAAGAGGUCAAUAUUCUUUUCCUCCUUUAAUAAAAUUGUACUGACAAGUUUUAAUAAAA